ACGCACGCUGGCGGCGUGCUUAACACAUGCAAGUCGAACGGAAAGGCCCUGCUUUUGUGGGGUGCUCGAGUGGCGAACGGGUGAGUAACACGUGAGUAACCUGCCCUUGACUUUGGGAUAACUUCAGGAAACUGGGGCUAAUACCGGAUAGGAGCUCCUGCUGCAUGGUGGGGGUUGGAAAGUUUCGGCGGUUGGGGAUGGACUCGCGGCUUAUCAUCUUGUUGGUGGGGUAGUGGCUUACCAAGGCUUUGACGGGUAGCCGGCCUGAGAGGGUGACCGGCCACAUUGGGACUGAGAUACGGCCCAGACUCCUACGGGAGGCAGCAGUGGGGAAUAUUGCACAAUGGGCGGAAGCCUGAUGCAGCAACGCCGCGUGCGGGAUGACGGCCUUCGGGUUGUAAACCGCUUUCGCCUGUGACGAAGCGUGAGUGACGGUAAUGGGUAAAGAAGCACCGGCUAACUACGUG
rnacentral:rRNA from 1 species